AAACUGCGCCGCCAUCCCCUUCUGAAUACAAAACCCUAAUCUACUAAAAACAAAGUCUCGCCCCUGAGGGGUCGGAAAAUUGUUGUGGACUACACGCUGAACUCUAGCCAAGAACCGAACUGCCUCCGGCGCCAAGGAGCCGAACGUGUCAAACGCCAGGGGGACAAAGGCAUGUUGAUUAUCCUCACAAGCUUUCGCGUGCUUUUCCACCUUCUUUGACUCUGCUUUCAGUACCGCUUACCCCGCCACAAACCCAUUUUCCCGGAACCCGCCACAAGCAUGUUUCCCGCCCUCCCAACCAAAAGCUAGCACGUCUGCCGGGCGUAGGGUUGACCUCCCUUCCGCCGGGUCUGUAAGAAAAUUAACCGGUGCCUCUUUCUUUGCCGAGAUCCCUGCUCGUCUGAGAAUAUCCAUUAACGUGUCUCGAACAAAGUCAUGGUGAUACUUAAACCCCGGCAAUUCAUUUUAUGGCGGUGGAUUAUGACACAUGAUACAACAUGGUUUACAAGCACUAAACGGUUUUAUGGUGUUCAGAUGGUAGUGCUAAAAAGGUGAAUGGCCUCUGGUAGCGGAUUGGAUUGCAUGUGACCGACCAAAUCACUAGAUAAUGUUGAAUGUUGUGCAUCUGUGUAAGCUACAUCGCCAGUGAAUAUCAUCAAUAAUUGAUUGUUGUAUAGUGUAUAAUUGAGUUUACAUAAAAGUUUUACUUCUUUUGUGUU